rnacentral:lncRNA from 10 species
AGACGAUGUAAGUUACAGGCAAAUUCAUUUUAUUAUCCAAAUUUUUAUAUAACAUCAUGUUAUAUAAGAGACUUGGGCCUCUGUGGAUUUUGUUUUCCACAGUUCUUGAAACCAAUGCCCUAUGGAUGGAUACGGAGGCGACAACUGUUAAUCAUCUCACCACUCUGCAUUAGUCCAGUCUCACAUUGCUAAUAAAGACAUUUCUGAGACUGGGUAAUUCAUAAACAAAAGAGGUUUGACUCACAGUUCAGCAUGGCUGAGGCGGCCUCAGGAAACUUACAACCACGGUGGAAACGGACACAAGCACAUCCUUCCUCACAAGACAGCAGCAAAGAAAAGUGCAGAAAAAAACAGGCAGAUAAAGACCGUUGUAAAACCACCAGAUCUGGUGAGACCUCACUAUCAUGAGAACAGCAUGAAGGUAGGUAACCCCAUGACUCAAUUACCUCCCACUAGGUCUCUCCCACGACACAUGGGGAUCAUCACAACUGUAAUUCAAGAUGAGAUUUGGGUGGGGACACCACCAAACUGUCCAAAACUGGUGGGUUCUUGUUCCCACUGACUUCAAGAAAAACCACAGACCCUCCUGGUGACUGUUAAGUUUUUAAAGGUGGUGUGUGUCUGGAGUUUCUUGCUUCUGAUGGUCAGACAUAUGCAGUCUCUCCUUUACUGGUGGGUUUGUGGUCUCACUGGCUUCAGGAGUGAAGCUGCAGACUUUCGUGACAAGCGUUAUAGCUUUUAGAGGUGGCGCAUUGAAUUAUUCCUUCUUCUCCUCCAGAAUAGUUUAUUUUUUGCAGUCAGUUACUGACCACCCCAGCCUCAAGAAUGAAAGUGCAGACCUUUACAGUCAGUGUUACAGUUCAUAAACCGUAAGGGUACCCCAGCGUGGUACUACAACUGGCUCGGGCAGCC